rnacentral:lncRNA from 1 species
AUAAUAUUUCUAAUAUUUUCAGGGGUACGAAUGAAAUUAUUCCAUACUAAUUAUUCCAAAUAUGACCGCAUGUCUAAGGGGUUGAGAAAUAAUAAAUAGUGCAAUAAGUACAUCAAAAAUUUUUAGUAGGCAUGCUAAUCUCCCAUUAGUUAGUGAAAUAAUUUUUAGUAGGUAUCGUAAUCCCCCAGUAGUUAGUGAAUGAGAAGGGAAGUUAUUGCUUGUGAUUCUCGCAAUUAACUUUCGUCAAAUAUAAAAUUAACUUAAGCUACAUCAAUCUUUUUUUUUAUUUUUUAAUGUACAAUUUAU